rnacentral:lncRNA from 1 species
GUCUUAAGGUGAGAAAAGAGAUUAAGAAGUGCAUAUAUUCAUGAGUUGGUUAAGGUGAGGUUAAAUUUUGGGAGAAUCUUUCGAGACUGUUAAGACAUCUGAGCAAAUAUGGUUGGUUAGAUGCAUAAUAGUAAACUUAGAGGAAGAGCGUAACAAAAAGGAGAGGAGAGUUGGUUACCAGUACAGUGAACUAGUCAAUUGAGUUACAUUCAUUUUUUGUUUUUUCAAAAAUAUACAAGGAGAGAACUCUACAUUUACACCAAAUCAGAUCCUGAAAAUCAGGAAUUAUUUGUGAAUACUAACAUACCGGUAUCCAAGAAUUCAUAUUUAUCCAUCAAUCAGUAUAUUCAAUCCCACAACCAAAUCAAAUUUCAUUUCUGCUAAUGUUUUUCUAUUUACAUAAGGCUUUGAUCCUAAGAUGCCCACAAAAUUAUACUUUAACUAAGAAAAACUGUGGCAUUAGUUUCAAUGUUCUACUCAAUGAGUCACUACAGGCCAUAUUACUAAUCUGUACAUACACAGAGGCUAAAACACGCAAUAGUUUUUAGGACACAAUCUUCAAAAGCAAUUUUAAGGAACCGAAAUUAUGAACAAGGUUUAUAAAUCUGGUGUUCUCACCGGAAUAGGGAUUCCAGAUUCCUGCAAUUAGGUUAAUGCUAACGUGAGCCAUCAUCCCACCUCCACAUCCUUGUCCCCCCAUACUGUCUUCACUGUGAUAAUUAUAUCAAAUUCACCAAGCAAAGGAAAUUGGUUGAACAAUAAAACCCAUGAUAUCAAAUAUUGGAAGAAAAAUAAAAUUGAAUUGAGCAAUAAAUAUUUUCUUAGCAAAAAAUAAGAUUUUCAAUAGAAUAAAACAAUGGGAACGAAUUCAACGCUCAGCAGCUCGAAAAAGAAACCCUAAUCGAAGGAAACCACUGAAAAUUGCCAAAAACAAAUUUUCCGGCAAGAUUGGAAAAAAAAUUUGGACCAUUUCUCGAUUUGUGCGUGUCAUCCUUGCGCAGGGGCCAUGCUAAUCUUCUCUGUAUCGUUCCAAUUUUAUCGGAUGUCCCCGAAGGGACAAUGGACUCUCUUCUCGCAUCGCAAUAUAAAAUGAAAGUUAUUACUGUGUUUAGUCGAUGUGGGACUAGAGUAGUCGAGAUUUAG